rnacentral:rRNA from 1 species
AUGAACGCUAGCGGCAGGCUUAAUACAUGCAAGUCGAACGGGAUUUAAGAUAGCAAUAUUUUGAUGAGAGUGGCGCACGGGUGCGUAACACGUAUGCAACCUACCUUUAACUGGUGAAUAGCCCCGGGAAAUCGGGAUUAAUACACCAUAACAUUACGGAAUGGCAUCAUUCUGCAAUUAAAGAUAUUCGGUUAGAGAUGGGCAUGCGGGACAUUAGCUGGUUGGUGAGGUAACGGCUCACCAAGGCAACGAUGUCUAGGGGUCCUGAGAGGGUUUUCCCCCACACUGGUACUGAGACACGGACCAGACUCCUACGGGAGGCAGCAGUAAGGAAUAUUGGUCAAUGGGCGCAAGCCUGAACCAGCCAUGCCGCGUGCAGGAAGACGGCCCUAUGGGUUGUAAACUGCUUUUGUCAGGGAAUAAAUGUAGGUACGUGUACUUACUUGAAGGUACCUGAAGAAUAAGCAUCGGCUAACUCCGU